UACGUAGGGUCCGAGCGUUGUCCGGAAUUAUUGGGCGUAAAGGGCUCGUAGGCGGUUUGUCGCGUCGGGAGUGAAAACACGGGGCUUAACCCCGUGCCUGCUUCCGAUACGGGCAGACUAGAGGUAUGCAGGGGAGAACGGAAUUCCUGGUGUAGCGGUGAAAUGCGUAGAUAUCUGGAGGAACACCGGUGGCGAAGGCGGCAUCCUGGACCGGUAUUGACGCUGAGGCGCGAAAGCCAGGGGAGCAAACGGG
rnacentral:rRNA from 1 species